AUUGAACGCUGGCGGCAUGCCUUACACAUGCAAGUCGAACGGUAACAGGUCUUCGGAUGCUGACGAGUGGCGAACGGGUGAGUAAUACAUCGGAACGUGCCUAGUAGUGGGGGAUAACUACUCGAAAGAGUGGCUAAUACCGCAUGAGAUCUACGGAUGAAAGCAGGGGAUCGCAAGACCUUGUGCUACUAGAGCGGCCGAUGUCAGAUUAGGUAGUUGGUGGGGUAAAGGCUCACCAAGCCAACGAUCUGUAGCUGGUCUGAGAGGACGACCAGCCACACGGGGAGUGGGACACAGCCCAGACUCCUACGGGAGGCAGCAGUGGGGAAUUUUGGACAAUGGGCGCAAGCCUGAUCCAGCAAUGCCGCGUGCAGGAAGAAGGCCUUCGGGUUGUAAACUGCUUUUGUACGGAACGAAAAGGUUUGGGUUAAUACCCUGGGCCGAUGACGGUACCGUAAGAAUAAGCACCGGCUAACUACGUGCCAGCCGCCGCCGUAA
rnacentral:rRNA from 1 species